AAUCAACGCUGGCGGCGUGCCUCAGACAUGCAAGUCGAACGCGAAAGGUUCCUUCGGGAGCCGAGUAGAGUGGCGCUCGGGUGAGUAACACGUAGGUAAUUUGCCUUUGGGUGGGGAAUAACAAUCGGAAACGGUUGCUAAUACCGCAUAAUGCAGCGGCUCGACAUCGAGACAGUUGUUAAAGCGGGGGAUCCUUCGGGACCUCGCGCCUAAAGAGAAGCCUGCGGCGGAUUAGCAGUUGGUGAGGUAAUGGCUCACCAAGGCGACGAUCCGUAACCGGCCUGAGAGGGCGGACGGUCACAC
rnacentral:rRNA from 1 species